GAUCGUUUGAUCCGCUUUUGCGAGGUCAUGAUCCAUGGACAGUCUUGUUUCCAAUCGAGUAGAUCUAGGCUUAUGCUGUUUCUGGAAACGGUCUUUGGAUCUGGACGAAGGAUGGACGGAUUUUAUGUCUGCCCUACCUGUGCGUAUCAGAUCAGAUCUGCUGAAGCUGCCUUAUGAGACGGGAUCGAGAUCGUUAUGGUGCGGUAGAUCAUAGAAGCUGUUAAUAGUUGGCAGGAAUUAUAGUAAGCUAGACAAAGGUUGACUUAUGCUGGGUAAUUUAUUCACAGUAUUGUUUUAUUAUCGUUGUUAUGGUUUUGAAGAAGUUAUGUGUUGUGAGGAAGAAAAAAAUUGUGGCGUUGGAAAAGAAUGUUAUGGAAAAAAUUAUGUGAUAGUGAGCAAAAAAAAGAGAGGUAAGAUUUGUGAGGUUAAGAUGUGAGAGAUGAAUUUACGCUGUGUGGUUGUGAUCGACCUUUGCCAUGUCAGGUGCGCUUGCAUGGCAGGUCAAAAACCCUAAUAAAAUUAUUAUUAUUUUUGUUUUCGGGGGAGAUGGUACGGGGGUUUUAUUUUUUUUAUCCCCGGCUCUCCCCCUUGCUGGUGUUCUUGCCUUUUUUUUUCCUGUGUUUCCCUCUUUGGUUUCUUGCUGCUUGACUGAAUUGUUUGGUUCUAUGCCAAACAUGCAACCACUUACAGUCUAAAGGCAAUAUAGAUUUCCCCACACAGUUUGAAA